rnacentral:rRNA from 1 species
AAAAGCUCGUAGUUGGAUCUCAGCUCCGGCCGGACGUCCGCCUACCGGUGGUUACUGUUCGUCGCCGAGCGUUCAGGCGGUUAUUCUUGAUGAUCUUCACCGGUUGUCUCGGGUGACCGCCAAGUUUACUUUGAAAAAAUUAGAGUGCUCAAAGCAGGCGCGACGCCUGAAUAAUUGUGCAUGGAAUAAUGGAAUAGGACCUCGGUUCUAUUUUGUUGGUUUUCGGAACACGAGGUAAUGAUUAAGAGGGACAGACGGGGGCAUUCGUAUUGCGACGCUAGAGGUGAAAUUCUUGGACCGUCGCAAGACGAACUACUGCGAAAGCAUUUGCCAAGAAUGUUUCCAUUAAUCAAGAACGAAAGUUAGAGGUUCGAAGGCGAUCAGAUACCGCCCUAGUUCUAACCAUAAACGAUGCCAGCCAGCGAUCCGGCUGUGUUCCUCAAAUGACACGCCGGGCAGCUUCCGGGAAACCAAAGCUUUUGGGUUCCGGGGGAAGUAUGGUUGCAAAGCUAAAACUUAAAGGAAUUGACGGAAGGGCACCACCAGUAAUGGAGCCUGCGGCUUAAUUUGACUCAACACGGGAAAACUUACCCGGCCCGGACACAGGAAGGAUUGACAGAUUAAGAGCUCUUUCUUGAUUCUGUGGGUGGUGGUGCAUGGCCGUUCUUAGUUGGUGGGGCGACUUGUCUGGUUAAUUCCGAUAACGAACGAGACUCUAGCCUACUAAAUAGACGUUCCCAUCCUCUUUUGUGGGACGUUCUUCUUAGAGGGACUAGCGGCGUCUAGCCGCACGAGACAGAGCAAUAACAGGUCUGAGAUGCCCUUAGAUGUCCGGGGCCGCACGCGCGCUACAUUGAAGGAAUCAGCGUGUGCUUUCCCUUUCCGAAAGGAAUGGGUAACCCGUUGAACCUCCUUCGUGCUGGGGAUUGGCCUAUGUAAUUACGGCCAUGAACGAGGAAUUUCCAGUAAGCACGAGUCAUCAGCUCGUGUUGAUUACGUCCCUGCCCUUUGUCCACACCGCCCGUCGCUACUACCGAUUGAAUGAUUUAGUGAGGUCUUCGGACUGGCGCUCGGAUUGGCCUUCGCGGUCGAGCCGGUGUGCCGGAAAGAUGACCAAACUGAUCAUUAGAGGAGUAAAGUCGUACAAGGUUU